AGUCGAGGGGCAGCGAGAUUGAAGCUUGCUUCAAUUGUCGGCGACCGGCGGACGGGUGCGUAACGCGUAUGCAACCUACCCAUAACAGGGGGAUAACACUGAGAAAUUGGUACUAAUACCCCAUAACAUCUCGAGUGGCAUCACUUGGGGUUGAAAGCUUCGGUGGUUAUGGAUGGGCAUGCGUUGUAUUAGCUAGUUGGUGAGGUAACGGCCCACCAAGGCGACGAUACAUAGGGGGACUGAGAGGUUAACCCCCCACAUUGGUACUGAGACACGGACCAAACUCCUACGGGAGGCAGCAGUGAGGAAUAUUGGUCAAUGGACGGAAGUCUGAACCAGCCAUGCCGCGUGCAGGAUGACGGCUCUAUGAGUUGUAAACUGCUUUUGUACGAGGGUAAACCCGAAUACGUGUAUUCGGCUGAAAGUAUCGUACGAAUAAGGAUCGGCUAACUCCGUGCCAGCAGCCGCGGUAAUACGGAGGAUCCAAGCGUUAUCCGGAUUUAUUGGGUUUAAAGGGUGCGUAGGCGGUCAGAUAAGUUAGAGGUGAAAUUCCGGUGCUUAACACCGGCGCUGCCUCUAAUACUGUUUGACUAGAGAGUAGUUGCGGUAGGCGGAAUGUAUGGUGUAGCGGUGAAAUGCUUAGAGAUCAUACAGAACACCGAUUGCGAAGGCAGCUUACCAAGCUAUAUCUGACGUUGAGGCACGGAAGCGUGGGGAGCAAACAGGAUUAGAUACCCUGGUAGUCCACGCAGUAAACGAUGAUAACUCGUUGUCGGCGAUACAAUGUCGGUGACUAAGCGAAAGCGAUAAGUUAUCCACCUGGGGAGUACGUUCGCAAGAAUGAAACUCAAAGGA
rnacentral:rRNA from 1 species